UGGGGAAUAUUGGACAAUGGGCGCAAGCCUGAUCCAGCCAUGCCGCGUGAGUGAUGAAGGCCCUAGGGUUGUAAAGCUCUUUCACCGGUGAAGAUAAUGACGGUAACCGGAGAAGAAGCCCCGGCUAACUUCGUGCCAGCAGCCGCGGUAAUACGAAGGGGGCUAGCGUUGUUCGGAUUUACUGGGCGUAAAGCGCACGUAGGCGGACUAUUAAGACAGGGGUGAAAUCCCGGGGCUCAACCCCGGAACUGCCUUUGUUACUGGUAGUCUUGAGUUCGAGAGAGGUGAGUGGAAUUCCGAGUGUAGAGGUGAAAUUCGUAGAUAUUCGGGGGAACACCAGUGGCGAAGGCGGCUCACUGGCUCGAUACUGACGCUGAGGUGCGAAAGCGUGGGGGGCAAACAGG
rnacentral:rRNA from 1 species